rnacentral:lncRNA from 1 species
UUGAUGCAAACAGCAAGAGGAUUUUUAUUCCAAGCGCACUGGGGCCCACAGUCGUAUGCCACGCAGGGGUAGAGGACUGCGGCCCCGAGUGCGGAAUCGGGACAGAUUUUAUGGGGUUCACAGCAAAGCCCGUGCUUCGCAAACCAAUCAUUUUAAAACAGCUCCGGAGGUCCGCAUUUGCGCGGGCUCCUGGGCAGAGUGACAGAUUGCAGUUGAGAUAGGUCACUAGGGCUUUCAAUGUGUAAUCAAUUCUUCUAUGGCGCUAGUCAGUUUUACAGAAUCCAGAUAAGCGAUUAGUCAGCUCAUUUCCUGUUGUCUUACUUAGGCCAGGGUCACGCAUUCCAGGGCCUAUUUUACGUUCUUUCAUCUAGUUUCAUACAGAAGGCAGGCCCUGGAACAGCAAGAAGUGUGACCUUCUACCUAUUUGCUGGCAGGGAACAGUGUCUGGAAUUCGGGGGCAUUUAGAGCUUUUUAUUAACUUCCUGGGUUCUGGGAGGGUUAGGUUGCAUUUUCAUCCUUUCAUUCCCCACUUCUUCUCUUGUUAAUAGUUCUAAUCUUAGAACUGGGAAGGCUAAAGGUCAGUUUCUCCUUGGCUCGGAAGGCCUUGGUACUGCUGUCUAAGUACCAUGAUCUGAACUGCACUCACUCGUUCUCUGACAAAGGCAACAAACUGAUUAAUUAAGCAAGGCCCAACUGUAAGCAACAGGAGCAGUUAUCACUAGGGGUCCUAUCAGAGCAGACAGCAGGGUGGUCACCCAUGGGGACUUGUUGAACCAUCCCUCAAACCAUCCUUGGCCAGCCUCUUUUCUUUGUGAUGUUUUUCUAACCUUUUUCUGAGCUUGUUCAUAGAGUCCCUGAUAGCUCAGAAUGAUCCACAUAAAAGCAGCAUUCCUCUUUGCUGUUGUUGUUGUUGUUGUUGUUGUUGCUGCUAUUUCUUGGGCCGCUCCCUCGGCAUAUGGAGGUUAACACCCUGGGCAGCUUGCUUGGCGACCUGGUCAGCCAUCUGGUUUCCUUUGGAGAUGAGAUCUUUGGCUUUCUGAUGUCCAGGGCAAUGUAUAAUGGCUAGCCUUUUUGGCAAAUGUAAGGCCUCCAACAAGCUUAGAAUUUUUUCUUUGUUCUUGACUUCCCUCCCUGCUGAGGUAAGCAACCCCCUUUGUUUAUAGAUGGCCCCAUGCACGUGUGCAGUCGCAAAGGCAUACCUGCUGUCCGUAUAAAUGUUUAUGGAUUUCCCCUCGGCCAGCCGCAAAGCUUGUGUGAGGGCCACGAGUUCAGCCUUUUGUGCUGAAGUCCCUUCCGACAGGCUGCUGGCCCAGAUAGUGCGGGGUCCCGUCCACCACCGCCGCCCUAGCCAUCCUCUUACCUUCCACUACAUAGCUGCUCCCAUCAGUGAACCAGGUCAGCACUUCUCCAGUCAGCGGUAUGUCUGUAAGGUCCUUGCGGACCCCAGUCUCCUCGAUCAACAGUUGAUGGCAAUCAUGAGUCACUGGUUCAUCGGUCUCUUCAGGCAGAAGAGUGGCAGGGUUGAGAGCGGCUGGUGGAGCGAACGUGACCCUCUCUGUGAGAAGCAGGCUUUGAUAGUGGGUCAUGCGGGCGUUGGUCAUCCAUCGGUCUGGGGGCUGCCGAACGAUGUUCUCCAACGCAUGGGGGGCUAUUACAGUUAUAUUCUGUCCCAAAGUCAAUUUGUCAGCGUCCUUGACCAGUAUGGCCACAGCUGCGAUAGCCUUCAGGCAUACGGGCCAACCACUGGCUACAGGAUCGAGCUUCUUUGACAGGUAGGCAACAGGUCUCCUCCAUGGUCCUAGGGUUUGGGUUAAAACUCCCCGGGCUACUCCCUUACGCUCAUCCACAUAAAGGGUAAAGGGUUUAGUUACGUCAGGGAGGGCCAGAGCAGGUGCGCUCAGCAGGGCCUUUUUGAUAGCAUCAAAUGCCUUCUGGUGCUCAGGAGCCCAGGAGAAUUCCCCUUUUUCUUUGGUUAGCGGGUAGAGUGGGGCUGCUAAGGUCGCAAACCCCGGGAUCCACAGUCUGCAAAAUCCAGCUGUCCCCAAAAACUCUCUCACUUGUUUGGCUGUGGUUGGGGCCGGUAUCUGGACUACAGUUUUCUUCCGUGCCUCCGUCAGCCAUCGCUGCCCGCCCCGCAAACUGUACCCCAAGUAUGUUACCUCUCUCCUGCAAAUCUGGGCCUUCUUAGCAGAGGCUCUGUAGCCUAGGUCAGACAAUUCCAGCAGUAGUGCCUUCGUACCUUCUAAGCAGUCCUGUUUGGUGGCUCCCGCCAGAAGCAGGUCAUCCACGUACUGGAGGAGGGUCACCUGAGGGUGUUGGAUCCUGAAGUUGGCCAGGUCCCUGUGUAGGGCUUCGUCAAAGAUGGUCGGGGAGUUCUUGAACCCUUGGGGCAGUCGGGUCCAGGUGAGCUGCCCGGUUCUUCCCGUACCUGGAUCUCUCCAUUCGAAGGCAAAAAGUGGUUGGCUAGUGGGGUGUAAUCUCAGGCAGAAGAAGGCAUCUUUUAAGUCCAAUACUGUGUACCAGUUCCGUUCAGGCGGGAGGGCGCUCAAGAGGUUAUAAGGGUUCGGGACCGUUGGGUGUAUGUCCUGCACCCUUUUAUUGACCUCUCUCAAGUCCUGUACUGGUCGAUAAUCAUUGGUCCCAGGCUUCCUAAC